UUGGGUUCAUGGCACUCAGGAUAAGAUGAAAGGGCUGGAAGGAAAUCACGUCUCCCAACGCCAUGAUGUAAUUACUGCCAGCAGCAUUUGGUGAGAUGUGCUUGGCACCAUUUGAGGUGAUCUAUGCGAUUGUUUGGAUCUUCAUUCCUUGGCAGACUAGAGAGAUGUGUCUCUCCAGAGAGAAAUCACUCACGUGGCUCCAGAGGACUGUCUGGGUCCACCUGCUCCCCAGUGAGAAAGAGAAAGAAUCAAGCCUUACAAAUGUGACCAGACCAGCAUUGGUUUGAAGAGGACUGUAUGAGUCAGAGUGAGCCUGCGCUGGGCCUUUGCCACUCAGAGACUAAGGAUGGGCAAACGGAGCCUGUUUUCCUGUGGAUGGGAGAGAGAAAAUGAAGCAUGAAGUCACUGAACUCUUUGAAGUUUUUGAAUACAUAUUCUGUGGAAAACGUGCCAAAUGAUUCCUCAAUGAAUGAAUAAAUAAGUUAUGUAGAUAAGUCUCUCACACUACAAGAAAAGCUUCCUUCAAUAUCUCCAUUUUUAUCCCCUCAUCAAACAAAAAUGUCAUCAAAAAUUGAGACCUUAUUGUUAAAAACACAUAUUGAAAGAAAGAUUGGUUUAGGAAAUCAGUUGGUUACUUUGCCUCUAUAUCAGUUUUCCUUUGUCUUCUUCACAUUGUUCGCUUGAUAAGUGAGUAGUGGCAUUUGAAAAUAACUUUCUGCACUCUUCUAGAUGUCUAGUGGUUCAUUACUAGAAAAUACAUAGUUUCUCAAAGCAAAGAUUGUUACAGGUGGGAAUAGCGUGAAAAAGAAGAGAAAAAUUGUUUCAGGACAAUGUACUGAAUCAAUAAAAAGGAUGAAUC
rnacentral:sRNA from 1 species